rnacentral:rRNA from 1 species
GUGGGGAAUAUUGGACAAUGGGCGAAAGCCUGAUCCAGUCAUGCCGCGUGUGUGAAGAAGGUCUUCGGAUUGUAAAGCACUUUAAGUUGGGAGGAAGGGCAGUAAGUUAAUACCUUGCUGUUUUGACGUUACCGACAGAAUAAGCACCGGCUAACUUCGUGCCAGCAGCCGCGGUAAUACGAAGGGUGCAAGCGUUAAUCGGAAUUACUGGGCGUAAAGCGCGCGUAGGUGGUUUUGUAAGUUGGAGGUGAAAUGCCCGGGCUCAACCUGGGAACUGCCUCCAAAACUGCAUGACUAGAGUACGGUAGAGGGUAGUGGAAUUUCCUGUGUAGCGGUGAAAUGCGUAUAUAUAGGAAGGAACACCAGUGGAGAAGGCGACUACCAGGACUGAUACUGACACUGAGGUGCGAAAGCGUGGGGAGCAAACAGGAUUAGAUACCCGAGUAGUCC